UGGGGAAUAUUGCACAAUGGGCGCAAGCCUGAUGCAGCAACGCCGCGUGAACGAUGAAGGUCUUCGGAUCGUAAAGUUCUGUUGCAGGGGAAGAUAAUGACGGUACCCUGUGAGGAAGCCCCGGCUAACUACGUGCCAGCAGCCGCGGUAAUACGUAGGGGGCUAGCGUUAUCCGGAUUUACUGGGCGUAAAGGGUGCGUAGGUGGUCUUUCAAGUCGGUGGUUAAAGGCUACGGCUCAACCGUAGUUAGCCUCCGAAACUGGAAGACUUGAGUGCAGGAGAGGAAAGUGGAAUUCCCAGUGUAGCGGUGAAAUGCGUAGAUAUUGGGAGGAACACCGGUAGCGAAGGCGGCUUUCUGGACUGCAACUGACACUGAGGCACGAAAGCGUGGGUAGCAAACAGG
rnacentral:rRNA from 1 species